GAUGAACGCUGGCGGCGUGCUUAACACAUGCAAGUCGAACGGGAUCCAAGGAUCUUUUUUCGUUUUUUGGUGAGAGUGGCGAACUGGUGAGUAACACGUGAGUAACCUGUCCUUUUCUUUGGCAUAAGCUCCUGAAAGUGUGUUUAAUACCUUAUGUUCUGUCUGCCUCGCUUGGGGUGGUUGGGAGAGAUUUUUUCGGUGAAGGGUGGGCUCGCGGUCUAUCAGUUUGUUGGUGGGGUGAUGGCUUACCUCGGCUUUGACGGGUAGCCGGCCUGGGAGGGUAGUCGGACGCAUUGGGACUGAGAUACGGCCCAGAAUACGGCGGGAGGCAGCGGGGGGGGAUAAUGCACAAUGGGCGCAAGCCUGAUGCAGAGACGCUGCGUGGGGGAUGAAGGCCUUCGGGUUGUAGACUUGUUUUGAACUGAACAAGGCGUAUCUUAGGGGUGUGUCGAGAGCAGGGGUAGCUUAGCGCCGGCUAACUAAGUG
rnacentral:rRNA from 1 species